ensembl:lncRNA MIR210HG MIR210 host gene
GGGCCGGGGGGCGAGAGGGUGCCAGCGGCCGCAGCUGAAGUUGGGCCGAGAGCCGGCGACGGCCCCGCGCCGGGGUCGCAGUGGGGCCGCUGCGGGAGACAGCGGGUGGAUCCUCCAGCAGCCUGUCUGCUGAGCCUGCCUUCUCAAGUCUACUGUUAAAAUCAGGACCGGGUCGUGUCCGAGCCUACAGGCCCUGUCUCCGCUCCCCAGGCCUGCAGGAGUUGAGGGCUGCACCUGCUCGCUGGAGAGGGAGAGGCAGAUUUAGUGGACGCCUGGCAUGGACUCGGACUGGCCUUUGGAAGCUCCCUGCCCUGACGGGGUUGCCUGUCACCACUGCGAAGUGAGGCUUGGCAGGACCUGCACCUGAGAAAGGCUGUGUGUGGUCUUGGGGUCCACACCUGCAGAGCUAACUUACUGCCAGACGGCGACUUACUGUGGGCCACCCUCAGUGAACCGGGGUGUCCUCAGCUGGCCCUACAGAGCACUUCUGUGCUGGGGAUGAGUAGGAACUCUGGGCGAGGAGGGUCCCAGCGCCGCCCCUCGAUACAGCCUGGCUCUGCCCUCUGCCCGUACUUACACCAGGUGGGAUCCCUGCCCUGCAUUGCCUGGGGAUUGGCUGGGCUUGGGCCCGCCCUGCUGUGGAACUGGAUGUUUUCAGGGAGCCCAGCCUUUCCUCAUGUCAACACAGUUCACAAUAUAGUUUUCAAAGUACAGUUUAAAACUCAAAAGUAAACUUUUCAGCAACUCAAA